rnacentral:rRNA from 1 species
UACGUAGGGGGCAAGCGUUGUCCGGAUUCAUUGGGCGUAAAGAGCUCGUAGGCGGUUCGGCAAGUCGGGUGUGAAAACUCCAGGCUCAACCUGGAGACGCCACCCGAUACUGCUGUGACUUGAGUCCGGUAGGGGACCACGGAAUUCCUGGUGUAGCGGUGAAAUGCGCAGAUAUCAGGAGGAACACCGAUGGCGAAGGCAGCUCGCUGGGACGGUACUGACGCUGAGACGCGAAAGCGUGGGGAGCAAACAGG